rnacentral:rRNA from 1 species
GACAGAGGUCCCGAGCGUUAGGCGGAAUCACUGGGCUUAAAGCGUGUGUAGGCGGAUUUGUAAGUACCUUGUGAAAUCCCACGGCUCACCCGUGGAACUGCUGGGUAUACUGGCGGUCUUGGGCCAACUAGGGGCAGCUGGAACAAGCGGUGGAGCGGUGAAAUGCGUAGAUAUCGCUUGGAACGCCGAAGGUGAAAACAGGCUGCUGGGGUUGUGCCGACGCUGAGACACGAAAGCCAGGGGAGCAAACGGG